GUCCUUUUGCACGUGACUGGCCACAUUUUGUUGCUGUGCUGCAUCUUUGAAGAUUCUUGCGCUACAAACUUUUUGUUAACAGAUGGAUAUCAAGAAAGAGAUCAGAGAUCUAAAGGAUAAAGUAUGGAAGCUUGUAGAAGAGGGACAGUUUGGAGAGGCAAUUAGAAUGAAUGAAAAAGCUAGAGAAAUGGCAGAACAACAUUUGGAAGUAACAGAUGGACUGAGACUGGCAG